UUGAAUAGUUUUUUAUUGAUGUAAUUGUUUUUUUUAAAUUCAGUAUUUGUUUAUUUUUCUAGUUUGGUAAUUUAUCAAUUCGAACUCGAUUUUAACCAUCUUUUUCAGCCUUUUUCCACACCCUUAACCUAAGCUCCACUACAACCUUUUAAAGACCUUUUGAUUUGUAUAUGAUCUCAUUUUAUAGUGGUGGAGAUUUGAUUUUAACGCAAGCCUAUGGUAAUAACUUUUCAUGUUUCACUAUUAAGUGUUUAUUUUUGAACCUUAAACACUUUGAGUGGUUUGAGUGAAUCUUUUGUGAGGAUGUCGAUUUUUUUCGAUUUUGAAUUAAAGGUAAUUACUUUGAUAAGGGGAAAUACUUGUGUUUUCAUGCUUUAAAAAUGUUCGACUUGGAUUGUUUGAAUCUUCAGUGCUCUUUUAGUUGAAUUAUCAAUGUAUGAUUAUUUGUGAAUUAUGACGAAAUAUCAUUGAUGAGAAUUAUGAGUUUAGAAGGAUUAAUUUUAAUUGUAAGUUGAGGAUUUUUGAUAAGCUAUAAAAGUAACAUCUUUUAAUCUCAUUCUAAAUGCGUUUUUGGAUGAUUAAUUAUGUAAAAUAGUGAAUUUGAUGCUCCUAAUCCUUUAAUUUCAUGUUUCUAUACUUAGAAGAGCACUCGGGAGUGAAAGGAGCAAAAAAUAAGCCAAAAUCAGAAAAAUAGAGCUGCUUCCAAGAACCACAUGACCGGGGCAUUCCCACACGGGAUGGCCACACGCCCAUGUGGCAGUCCGUGUCGAUAACGCACCUUGCUUCCCAAAUACGUGGAAAAACCAAAUUUUUAGGCUUUCUGAGCAUUCUAAAGUCUGUAAAUAUCAAUUAAAAGAAGAUCUAAGGGGGCACAUAAAUAAGAUUGAAGAAAAGACUCGAAGAACGCCAUCAAAAUCAACUCGAAGCGGAUCUCCUUCAAGAUUGAAGAUCUCCAUUUAAUUUCUUUUGAAGUUUUAUUGAGUUUCUUUAUGUCUUCUUGUUAUCUUAACUUUGAGAUGUUUCUGUUUAGGGUUAUGAACUAAAUUCCCUAGAUACCUAGGAAAGAUGAAACCUAUGAUGAAUCUUAUUAUUUGAUUUCUAAUCUACAUGAUAAAUACUUGAUUCUUG
rnacentral:lncRNA from 1 species